CCCUUAGAUGUUCUGGGCCGCACGCGCGCUACAAUGAUGAAUUCAACGAGUUUAUAACCUUGGUUGAAAAGCCUGGGUAAUCUUUUGAACUUUCGUCGUGAUGGGGCUAGACCCUUGCAAUUAUUGGUCUCCAACGAGGAAUUCCUAGUAAACACAAGUCAUCAGCUUGCAUUGAUUACGUCCCUGCCCUUUGUACACACCGCCCGUCGCACCUACCGAUUGAAUGGUCCGGUGAAAUCUUCGGAUUGAGACUUUGAUUUCUUCACGGAAAACGCUGUUUUAAAAAGUUGAUUAAACCUUACCAUUUAGAGGAAGGUGAAGUCGUAACA
rnacentral:rRNA from 1 species